UGGCUGUCGAUGUCCGACGGAGCAGGUGGGGAGUUGAGUGGAACUUCAGUGGCUAGUGGGCCAGGGAUGACUGGUUUGAGGCGAGAGACAUGGAAUGAUGGAGCUAUGUGGCUGUGUCUAGUUGUCUUUGGCCAUGUUGGUGGUGGUGCAUUCUGGGAAUUGGAGUCGCUGGUUUGCUGUGAUUUGAUGCCUUGUCUUGGAUCUUGGAGACAACUGGACAAAGCCUCCUGUCACGUUAUUCUCCUCGCUGCAUUCAGUGCGUAUUAACAGCCCGCAGCAUGAUUGCGCGCUCUUUCGGGUUUUCAUUGACCUUGACUUUACUUUUGACACGUGUGUGUUCUGUUAUGGUUUAUGUCCUGUCUCCGCCCCUGUAUUGUCAUUGGUUGAUUCCCUUACACGUCAUCAUUCUAAUCAGCUGUUUUGUUAUCCCCUUGAUUAUGUGUAUUAUUUAAAUUCCUUGUCUGUCUUUGUACAAAGGCGAAGUAUAUGUUCAGUUGCUGUUGUCUAUCUAUACCAAGCUGUUCUCUGUUAUAGUUUCUCUGGUUUUGAUUCUGUUUUGCCCUUGACUCUGAUUCUCUGCCUUACCUAUUCCAGUCUGUUUGCACUAUUCCCUGACCUUGCCUGUCUAAUGUUUUUGAUCUUUGCAUUACACUUUGGAUUGUUAUUCUCAUUAAAACUGGUUUA